GGCGCUAAGUCCUCUACAACGAUUAGCUCACUUUAUCUUCCUAACAACUCUGAGGUAAAGCUCUCUUAUUAUCCUCAUGUUACUGGUGUGGACACUGAGGCACAGAGACUUUUAAGCAUCUUGCUCAAGGCUUGUGGGAGAGAGAGGAGGGGAGAUGUGACGAGAGGAGGCUCCGGGCCUGAGCUCUGGGUGCUCAGGGUGAGGAGCCAGGGAGAUGAGAGGACCCAGCCGGAAAGCAGCAGCGGGCGAGGCAAGAAAUCUCAGUCAUUCUCUCAACAGCUGAAACUGUCACCAAGAGAAGCCCCACAUGUUUCCUUGUUGGUGUAGUAGUACUGUUUAUGCUCGUCUCAGCUUCCAGAUGACAGCAGUUCCCAGACCCACAGCUACACCUUGUUACUUAUCAUGUUAAUAAAGUACCUGUGCUAUGAAAUCA